rnacentral:rRNA from 1 species
GAUCAACGCUGGCGGCGUGCCUAAUACAUGCAAGUCGAGCGAACAGACGAGGAGCUUGCUCCUCUGACGUUAGCGGCGGACGGGUGAGUAACACGUGGAUAACCUACCUAUAAGACUGGGAUAACUUCGGGAAACCGGAGCUAAUACCGGAUAACAUGUUGAACCGCAUGGUUCAACAGUGAAAGACGGUCUUGCUGUCACUUAUCGAUGGAUCCGCGCCGCAUUAGCUAGUUGGUAAGGUAACGGCUUACCAAGGCAACGAUGCGUAGCCGACCUGAGAGGGUGAUCGGCCACACUGGAACUGAGACACGGUCCAGACUCCUACGGGAGGCAGCAGUAGGGAAUCUUCCGCAAUGGGCGAAAGCCUGACGGAGCAACGCCGCGUGAGUGAAGAAGGUCUUCGGAUCGUAAAACUCUGUUAUUAGGGAAGAACAAAUGUGUAAGUAACUAUGCACGUCUUGACGGUACCUAAUCAGAAAGCCACGGCUAACUACGUG